rnacentral:rRNA from 1 species
UACGUAGGGUGCAAGCGUUAAUCGGAAUUACUGGGCGUAAAGCGUGCGCAGGCGGUUGUGCAAGACCGAUGUGAAAUCCCCGGGCUUAACCUGGGAAUGGCAUUGGUGACUGCACGGCUAGAGUGUGUCAGAGGGGGGUAGAAUUCCACGUGUAGCAGUGAAAUGCGUAGAGAUGUGGAGGAACACCAAUGGCGAAGGCAGCUCGCUGGGACGUUACUGACGCUGAGACGCGAAAGCGUGGGGAGCAAACAGG